rnacentral:rRNA from 1 species
UAAGCAUAUCAAUAAGCGGAGGAAAAGAAACCAACAGGGAUUGCCCCAGUAACGGCGAGUGAAGCGGCAACAGCUCAAAUUUGAAAUCUGGCCCCCCAGGGCCCGAGUUGUAAUUUGCAGAGGAUGCUUUUGGCGCGGCGCCUUCCGAGUUCCCUGGAACGGGACGCCAUAGAGGGUGAGAGCCCCGUCUGGUCGGACGCCUAGCCUGUGUAAAGCUCCUUCGACGAGUCGAGUAGUUUGGGAAUGCUGCUCUAAAUGGGAGGUAUAUGUCUUCUAAAGCUAAAUACCGGCCAGAGACCGAUAGCGCACAAGUAGAGUGAUCGAAAGAUGAAAAGCACUUUGAAAAGAGGGUUAAACAGUACGUGAAAUUGUUGAAAGGGAAGCGCUUGUGACCAGACUUGGGCCCGGUGGAUCAUCCAGCGUUCUCGCUGGUGCACUCCGCCGGGUCCAGGCCAGCAUCAGUUCGCCGCGGGGGAGAAAGGCUUCGGGAACGUGGCUCCUACGGGAGUGUUAUAGCCCGUUGCACAAUACCCUGGGGCGGACUGAGGUUCGCGCUCCGCAAGGAUGCUGGCGUAAUGGUCAUCAGCGA